rfam:Myotis davidii contig154630, whole genome shotgun sequence.
GGCAGUUCUCAGGUGAUGCACCUUGGAAUCAGGCUCCCUCCUCUCUAGUUCUGGGGUGCAUCACCCAAGAACUGCC